AGUGGGCAGUAGAAAGAGAGAAGGGAGGAGAGGAUUGUGUAAAUGCUGCAUCAAUGGCCAAAGGCCACCAUGUCCUUGGAGGUGACCGUCUGCUGGGUCCCUGAAAUGAGAGAAGAUAUGCAGUGUAUAUGAAUGGACUCAAACACCGCCAAUCCUCAUUUUGUCGUGUCACAGGAUCGGAGGAAUGUGUCAUUCGUGGAGGCCCCGCAAGAUAAGCAGGAUGGGCCGCAGAAUGGGCCAGUCUAAUUGUUAACCCUUUCAGAUCCCCAGAGGAAACUCCCCUAAUCCCCUCGGCCCGAACCCCAGACAACGGAGCACCAGAGUUCGUACAACACAGAUCAAGGCAAAUAUCUGGAUUCUCUCAGGGGAGUUAAUUACGGUAGAAUUGAAAAUGCAA